rnacentral:rRNA from 1 species
GCUGGCGCGUGCUUACCAUGCAGUCGAACGAUGAAGCCCAGCUUGCUGGGUGGAUUAGUGGCGAACGGGUGAGUAACACGUGAGUAACCUGCCCUUGACUCUGGGAUAAGCCUGGGAAACUGGGUCUAAUACCGGAUAGGAACGUCCACCGCAUGGUGGUUGUUGGAAAGAUUUAUCGGUCAUGGAUGGACUCGCGGCCUAUCAGCUUGUUGGUGAGGUAAUGGCUCACCAAGGCGACGACGGGUAGCCGGCCUGAGAGGGUGACCGGCCACACUGGGACUGAGACACGGCCCAGACUCCUACGGGAGGCAGCAGUGGGGAUUAUUGCACAAUGGGCGAAAGCCUGAUGCAGCGACGCCGCGUGAGGGAUGACGGCCUUCGGGUUGUAAACCUCUUUCAGUAGGGAAGAAGCGAAAGUGACGGUACCUGCAGAAGAAGCACCGGCUAACUACGUGCCAGCAGCCGCGGUAAUACGUAGGGUGCGAGCGUUAUCCGGAAUUAUUGGGCGUAAAGAGCUCGUAGGCGGUUUGUCGCGUCUGUCGUGAAAGUCCGGGGCUUAACCCCGGAUCUGCGGUGGGUACGGGCAGACUAGAGUGCAGUAGGGGAGACUGGAAUUCCUGGUGUAGCGGUGGAAUGCGCAGAUAUCAGGAGGAACACCGAUGGCGAAGGCAGGUCUCUGGGCUGUAACUGACGCUGAGGAGCGAAAGCAUGGGGAGCGAACAGGAUUAGAUACCCUGGUAGUCCAUGCCGUAAACGUUGGGCACUAGGUGUGGGGACCAUUCCACGGUUUCCGCGCCGCAGCUAACGCAUUAAGUGCCCCGCCUGGGGAGUACGGCCGCAAGGCUAAAACUCAAAGGAAUUGACGGGGGCCCGCACAAGCGGCGGAGCAUGCGGAUUAAUUCGAUGCAACGCGAAGAACCUUACCAAGGCUUGACAUGUUCUCGAUCGCCGUAAAGAUACGGUUCCCCUUUGGGGCGGGAUCCAGGGUGGUGCUGGUUG